AGUGGCAGACGGGUGAGUAACGCGUGGGAACAUACCCCUCGGUUCGGAAUAACUCAGGGAAACUUGAGCUAAUACCGGAUACGUCCGAGGUUUAAUCGACCUUGGAGAAAGAUUUAUCGCCGGAGGAUUGGCCCGCGUCUGACUAGCUUGUUGGUGAGGUAAUGGCUCACCAAGGCGACGAUCAGUAGCUGGUCUGAGAGGAUGAUCAGCCACAUUGGGACUGAGACACGGCCCAAACUCCUACGGGAGGCAGCAGUGGGGAAUAUUGGACAAUGGGCGAAAGCUUGAUCCAGCCAUGCCGCGUGAGUGAUGAAGGCCUUAGGGUUGUAAAGCUCUUUUACCCGGGAAGAUAAUGACGGUACCGGGAGAACAAGCCCCGGCUAACUUCGUGCCAGCAGCCGCGGUAAUACGAAGGGGGCUAGCGUUGUUCGGAAUUACUGGGCGUAAAGCGCACGUAGGCGGAUCCUAAGUCAGGGGUGAAAUCCCGAGGCUCAACCUCGGAACUGCCUUUGA
rnacentral:rRNA from 1 species